rnacentral:other from 20 species
GUAGCGCCCGGUCACCAGACCGGGCGAGGAUUGAAAC